rnacentral:rRNA from 1 species
UGGGGAAUAUUGCGCAAUGGGCGCAAGCCUGAUCCAGCCAUGCCGCGUGAGUGACGAAGGCCUUAGGGUUGUAAAGCUCUUUUGGCGGGGAAGAUAAUGACGGUACCCGCAGAAUAAGCUCCGGCUAACUUCGUGCCAGCAGCCGCGGUAAUACGAAGGGGGCUAGCGUUGUUCGGAAUUACUGGGCGUAAAGCGCACGUAGGCGGAUUUGUCAGUCAGGGGUGAAAUCCCGAGGCUCAACCUCGGAACUGCCUCCGAUACAGCAAGUCUCGAGUCCGGAAGAGGUGAGUGGAAUUCCUAGUGUAGAGGUGAAAUUCGUAGAUAUUAGGAAGAACACCAGUGGCGAAGGCGGCUCACUGGUCCGGUACUGACGCUGAGGUGCGAAAGCGUGGGGAGCAAACAGGAUUAGAUACCCCAGUAGUCCCUGAGCGGGCUGGCAAGGCGCAU